UUGAACCCGGGAAGUGGAGCUUGCAGUGAGCCGAGAUCGCGCCACUGGACUCCAGCCUGGGCGACAGAGUGAGACUCAUCCCUAGGAAAAAAAAAAAAUCUAUUGAAAACAGAAACCGGUGAUAUCCACUGGGAAGAAAAUACAGAGUAAGAGAAGCGGGGCAAGACACAACGUUGAAUGAAUAGACAGAAAGGAUCAAGAAAAGAAAACUGAGGAGCUGGCUACUUAAUAAAAUCAGGGAAGCCAGGGAGUCAGGAGCAGAGCCUGCAGUUCUCACCAGGCCUGUCUGUGUUACUGAAUCAGAAACCAAAAAGAAUCUUCCUCUAGGAAGAUCCUAGAAUUUGUAGGUCGGAGUAAUAGAUGACUCAAUAAAACCUAGGGAGUAAAAGAGACAUAUAAUUUAAAAAAUAAGGUCCUAUGUGAAGACUGUGUUUAUUCUGUAUCUAAACAAAGCCUGAAAAUUCAACAUUAAACAGCCAAUCAUCACCCAGAU
rnacentral:lncRNA from 1 species